CGCUCGCUGGCGCUGGUCGCUGCGCGCCCACGGAAGCACUGUAGCUGGUCGUCGUCUUCCUCCUCUGUCCGCUUCCUCCCCGUGUCCCCUUGGCCUCCUCUGCCCCGUGACCACAGCAGCGCUACUUCGUCUUGUUCUCGCGCCCUCCCGUGAUCGCUGCCCGCCGCCAGAGCUCGGUCGGAUCCGAGCGGCGGCAUCCGGCUCGGCCAUCCUUGCCCCGCCUAUAAAUGGCCCUCCCCGAGCCAUUCCGAGCACGCCUCUGGCCUCCCCGUCCUCUUUUAUCCCCGCCCAGCCUCUCACCCGGGCCAGAGAGCCCCUCCUCGCCUCCCUCUGUCACCACGGCCGCCGACGAGCCCCGCCUCGAUUUCGGCGAACCAGGCCUUUUCCCUCCAUUCUACCACCACCCGAGCGCUGCCCAGACCUCCAAGAGCCAUCCAAAACCUCCAGCCCCUCACCUACGCCACCGGAGCGCCGUGCCCAACUCCACCUGAAGCUCCCCUCCGCCGUGGCCCUUGUCCUCCUCAAGCUCGACCUCCCCGGGAUCUUCUUCCGCCGGGAACAAAUCCGGCUCGUCGCGCUGAACGUUUUGGUAGGUUGCCCGUCGCGAGCGGUGGCCGGACGUGCCGGCUAUUGCCGUCGGGGUGGCCUCCUCCCUCUGCCAUGGGCGCACCGAGUGGGAGGUUGAAGAAGGCCGGCUAGGCGGGCCCCUCCCUGCGCGGCCCCACCUGGCAGACUCACGGAGCCCGGCCCCGCCCUUGCCAGCAUGGCAAGUGGAGGCGUCUUCCCGUGAAGUACGUUUUCCCAUGAGUUAAACGUAACCUGAGCCAGGGGCCUGUUUGUAGAAGUUAUUUUUACAGAUUGGUCCCUGAACUUCGUUUGGCUAUAACUUUUCAACCACAGCUCCGAUCGAGCCGCCUCCGAGAGAGAACCUUUUUCGGCGAUUCGUUCCGCGAGCUUUCCGCACUUUUCCCUCGUGUAUUCUUCAUCCCCAGGCAAGCCACAACACCCACUUGCAUGAUGACCAUGCAUUAGCCAUGGUUUUCAACUUGAACAUUUAAUAAAUGUCUGCUUGUUGUGAUACGGUUAUCGUUGUUUCUGUGAUGCUUAUGGAUUUGUGUUCAAUUUCAUGCUAUGUUUUUAUCCACCUGGUUAUCAUGUACUAGAUGCUAGUAUUUCUUUCAUAUGUCAUGCUUGGGUAGUGGUACCUGUUGGUGUUGGUUGUGCUCCUCGGUGCAUGACUAUCGUCUGUUACCGAGUACCAUUGUUAUGUAUGUUCCUUUGUAUAUAGUAGUUAAAUGCUUACUUAAUACUAUUCUUGAUAUGUUCUUGCAUGGUAUUUAUUGUUGAUGCUAGUGGUCAUGCUAUGUUUCUGAGUAGUGGAUGCUUGUGAUGUGCAUGUUAGUCAGUAUGCCAUGCUCAGUCGGAUAUAUGAUUUAUUGUUAUUGAUAUGUUAGGAAGUGAUGUUGCACAUCUAUGCUUAUGUUGAUAUCAUGUUCAUGCAUUAUAGUUGCAUCAUGUUAUUUUAAUAUGACUCAGCUUAUUGCAUUCAAGUUUAACCACAUAAUAAUGAACUUGAACAACUAUUGGCUGAGUCAUGGUGCCACCAAAUCGAGCUGACCAGUGCAGCCACACUUGCCUUAUGGGGGGUCUUAACUGGGUCUAUUGCCAUGCCUCUCAUCGGUGCCUCCAAAGAGGGAAGCUUAUGCGGGUGCUACCUUGGCCGGGUAGGACGACAUAAGCCUUGUGAGCCCGAGUUUGGUUAUGUGCACAUGUCCCCGUUUGGGACCGUUUAUGGUUUUGCCAUGAUGGUGGCCAUUGGGUGUCAUUGGUUGGCACGGGGCCACCCAGGACUUACCCCAGAGGGGAGUUUGUCGGAGUGGCUGGAAGAGUGUCAUGGUCAAUGGAUCGGUUUUGUCGGAACAUCGUUGGUCCACCCGAAUGGGAGUGCGAGGCCAUGGGUUCCGUGGUGUGGGUACAGUGUACUAACCUCUAUAGAGUGUGUGUGUGUGUUAAAUCUAUC